rnacentral:rRNA from 1 species
GAUGAACGCUGGCGGCGUGCCUAAUACAUGCAAGUCGAGCGAACGGACGAGAAGCUUGCUUCUCUGAUGUUAGCGGCGGACGGGUGAGUAACACGUGGAUAACCUACCUAUAAGACUGGGAUAACUUCGGGAAACCGGAGCUAAUACCGGAUAAUAUUUUGAACCGCAUGGUUCAAAAGUGAAAGACGGUCUUGCUGUCUCUUAUAGAUGGAUCCGCGCUGCAUUAGCUAGUUGGUAAGGUAACGGCUUACCAAGGCAACGAUGCAUAGCCGACGUGAGAGGGUGGUCGGCCACACUGGAACUGAGACACGGUCCAGACUCCUACGGGAGGCAGCAGUAGGGAAUCUGCCGCAAUGGGCGGAAGCCUGACGGAGCAACGCCGCGUGAGUGAUGAAGGUCUUCGGAGCGUAAAACUCUGUUAUUAGGGAAGAACAUAUGUGUAAGUAACUGUGCACAGCUUGACGGUACCUAAUCAGAAAGCCACGGCUAACUACGUG